rnacentral:misc_RNA from 1 species
GAACACUGGAAUACAUCAACUCGCCCAUCUCUGUGUCCCCCCUCCUGUCCAACCAAGGCAAGCCUGCACACCGACAUCACGGAAGGAACAACGCACACACGCACUCACACACACACACACAUAUCUCUAGAGAGGCAUCUCCACAUACGUCACCACCUCUCUUCCACAUGUCCAUUCCGCUCGUCGCAAGCGGCAAGACGGUGAAGGAGGACAGCGAGCUCUUUUUCUCCGUCACACGUGACUUCUCCGUGCCAGGCGUCAGCAGCCAGUAUCAGACACCGCUUGCGUUCAACCAGCUCAUGCGCAGUCGUCUGCGGCAGCGCAACCGGUUCAACCAUGAUCACCACGACACGUGUGCGUACAUUGAACGGUCAAAGAACGCCAACGUGGUGGCGUACACAGCAAACCUUGUCGAUGCAGCCACACAGAAGAGGGUGGGAUCUGGCAUCGGGCGGCAGUGCGUGCCGUACCGCGACCACCCUUUGCACGCGUACUUUGUGAGCCUCGAGCCAUCCUAUCUGGAGGAGCGUCGCCGCAAGGGGAUCGAGUACGACUGCGACGAACUCAGCAUUCUUGAGCGGACGCUGGCGUACGGCUGCUCAGCGACGCCGGUGAAUACGGAGAGCGUUCUGCGGUACUGGAGCAAACACACACCAGAGGCGUUCGCAGCUCUCCAGGAGGAGUGGAAGGCAGAUGAUAGCGUUGGCAUCCCUGCCGAGAAUCAGGCCACGGCGUAUGGCGAGCAUCAAGGCGCGAAGGGUGUCUCAGCAGCAGGUGGCGCGACUGCGGCGCCUCCGUCGGCGAAUGCGCUCACGGCGGAGUCGCUCGACGCGGCACUCAAGACGUGGUGGGCACCGUUCCACCCGUACAUCUCGCACUUCGUGGCUCUUCCCACCUGGCCCGGUCUUAUCGUGUACCUGCCACCGGUGGCUAAGGUUGGCUCCAGCCGGCGUAGUAGUGUUGCUGCGGUAGAGUCGCCGGCGUCUGCCACGUCGGCAGCGCAGACUUCGACCUCAACCGACCAAGCUCGUGCCGCCAACACGACAGAGGCGGAGCCACCAAUGGUGGACACGACGAACAUCACAUACGGCAACCACACGGAGCCGGCCGAGGCGACAGCGACUUCCGGCGUUCUGUCGGACGAGGACACCGUUGUCGCCAUUAUUACCCGCAUCGACGGCGAGCUCAGCGUGCUAGAGAAGGUGUACGUGAAGAGCAUUGAGCCGAAGCGGUUUUACAACCUGCCCAAGGUGGAGUACAUCGAGGUGUUUGGCGUGUCCCUGGCAACCGGCAAAGAGACCUACGAGAAGAAGACUUGCUAGAGAAAGAGGGGAGAGGCAGUGAACUGAGGUGAAGCACAGAGAAGCGGAAGGAUCGGCGUCGGCUGGAGGGGCGACCGCCUCUUCAUUUCUUCUGUUGCUCCGUGCGUCACUAGGCGCCUGUGUGCUUGAGCACGACAUGUAUUGUUGCCGCCAGUCCAUCCCCGCGCUCGCUCUUUCUCCCUCGUCUGAUAAGAUCCUGCGCUUUGCUAUUUUUCCGGCGAGUGUGCGCUCUCUUCUAUCACGCGCAUCGCAUCGAUCAUCGUUGCGGCCCCCCUCUCCCCCCCACUCGCCACUCGCCACCUGCUUGCUUGCUUGCUUCCAUCUCUCGCUCUCUGCUGCAUGUCUUGCUGCGAUGAGUAUAGUUUAUAUGUUGUUUCUCUUUUCUUUCUUUUAUGUACGCUCUGCGCAUCACAGAGGGCUUGGCGGCGCUGAUGCGGCGGCGGAGAGGGCCGUGUACGGCGGCUUCUCACUCUCGCUCUGUCUUGUCCCGUGCUGAGGCUGCGCUCUCCCUCCUUCUCCCCCCCCCCCCACACACACACACACGGAUGGACGCACACGCCACAGGCGAACACGCAGCGACACGCAUGAAGAGGCUGCCAGCUGUGACAGCCCGCUGCUUCGAUCGCCCUCCCUUGACUACGAGCACCUCUGCUGCUUCGCAAACCUUCUGCUUUUUAGUUUUGCGUUGCUGUUUAGAUCGUUGACGUGUGUGCUUGUCUUUGUGGGCUCGCCAGGAUCCUCUCGGCGAAACUGUCCCAUUCACAUCAAUGACCACAGGCUCCCCAUUCCUCAGCUGCAUCCUAUGGUUGGCCCGCUGAGCUCAUACACCCUAAGCACUGUCUAGACGCUUUCGUGAAAGCGAGCCCAGCUACGAAACCUAAGCGCGCGUACACAUGCAACACAUCAACAGCGGUCCCUCCUUAAGCUGCGUCUCUCUCUCUCUUUGCUGAGGUGUGCAAUGAGUGUGCGUCCCAGCAGCCACGUGGAGCUGCGAUUCGGCGCCGCCGGUGCAGUAUGACA